rnacentral:rRNA from 1 species
GACGAACGCUGGCGGCGUGCUUAACACAUGCAAGUCGAACGGAAAGGCCCUGCUUUUGUGGGGUGCUCGAGUGGCGAACGGGUGAGUAACACGUGAGUAACCUGCCCUUGACUUUGGGAUAACUUCAGGAAACUGGGGCUAAUACCGGAUAGGAGCUCCUGCUGCAUGGUGGGGGUUGGAAAGUUUCGGCGGUUGGGGAUGGACUCGCGGCUUAUCAGCUUGUUGGUGGGGUAGUGGCUUACCAAGGCUUUGACGGGUAGCCGGCCUGAGAGGGUGACCGGCCACAAUGGGACUAAGAGACGGCCCAGACUCCUACGGGAGGCAGCAGUGGAGAAUAUUGCACAAUGGGCGGAAGCCUGAUGCAGCAACGCCGCGUGCGGGAUGACGGCCUUCGGGUUGUAAACCGCUUUCGCCUGUGACGAAGCGUGAGUGACGGUAAUGGGUGAAGAAGCACCGGCUAACUACGUG